AUCUUCAUGCAUGUGUGAAACCAGAGUUACCAACGUUUUUUUAUUACUAACCCAGCUCAUCUCUGAAGUUACUGUCUUGGUGAUACUUUUGAUAUUCUCGGUUUCCUCUCAUUGUCUAAGGGGUGGCACUAGUUAUCAAAGCCACAGUCAAAAUUGGCCAAAUGGUAAACAUUCAUUAAUUUAAGGUUAGUCGUAAUGUUAGCAGUGCAGUUAUGGUUAAGUUUAAAAUCGGACUCUAAGAAGAUACGUUGUAGAAAUAGGCAGGGUUUAGUCAUUGUUAUUACUGUGGCUGUGGUAAAGUCUACUUUGCCAUGUGAUUACCAUGUGGACCAAAUGUAAAUAAAAGUAUAGUUGUCAUAGCUAGCUAGCUACCGGUGCCCCACCUCCCGCCUGCUGUGUACCGGAGUCCUAACAAUGGCCGUGUUUCGAGAGGAUCAAAACUGUGAUGUAUCAUGGACACAGGCUGGGAUCAGAUCAACCUCAGUCAAAUAACAUCAGGAGCAGCUAAUCACCCUGGCAUUAGAGCGGGACUCUAACCCAGAAGCUUAUAAGAAAUCCCGCUAUGCCCUCUGACGAAUCAUCAAACUGGCAAAUUGUCAGUACAGGACUAAGAUCGUCUCGUGCUACACUGGCUCUGACGCUCGUUGGAUGUGGCAGGGCUUGCAAACCAUUACAGACUACAAAGGGAUGCACAGCCG